rnacentral:rRNA from 1 species
UACGUAGGGUGCGAGCGUUAAUCGGAAUUACUGGGCGUAAAGCGUGCGCAGGCGGUUUUGUAAGCCAGAUGUGAAAUCCCCGGGCUCAACCUGGGAAUGGCAUUUGGGACUGCAAGGCUGGAGUGUGGCAGAGGAGACUGGAAUUCCUGGUGUAGCAGUGAAAUGCGUAGAUAUCAGGAGGAACACCGGUGGCGAAGGCGGUUCUCUGGGCAUGAUCUGACGCUGAGGAGCGAAAGUGUGGGGAGCGAACAGG